AGAGCAAAGCUAAGAACAAGAAAAAACUGAGUAAACAAAAAUUUCUGCUGAAUUUACAAAAGUGUACACAUUAAGAACUAUAGCAAUAAUUGGUUGAUUGGUGUUGCUUAAUAUUAAAUUUCACUUGAGCAGUCAACAUUCACAUUGGAAAAAAUCGCUCUACUUGAUGUGUUUCACCGAGUGCUUUGUUUUGUUGUGAAAUCUCCGAUGUGAACGAAACGAAUUCACGCAUAAAAUUUAAAAAAUAGCGUGGAGAACGUAUGGACUAUGUAACACAUUCCCAAGUUCUCCAAUAAGAACUUUUGUACAAGGGUGCCAUGCUGCUGUUCAAAAAAUUUACUUUGCGGGGCGCCGGCGUAACAUUUGCAAUUGUUGGAUAUUAUAAUCAAAGCUCGUAUGGUUUUGGUGAAGACGAAUCAGCUUCACUUCGUAAUGAACUCGUUCUUAAUUUCGUGUGGUUAAAUAUAUAACUCAGUUUACAAAUCCGUCCAAAGUUCCACGUUGAUUCUUCUGCAUCAUGUUAAGCGGCUUCGACUGCCACACGUAUCCCGUCAACAAAUAAAAACUUAAAAAACAAACGACAUAUUGCACAAAAGGAAAAAACAAUAAUGUCAAAUAUUUCGUUACUGCAUCAAAUCGUGUGAAGAUGUCUCCAGUUCCUAACACAAAUAUAUGUACAUACCUGCAACUGCACUCCGCACACAAAUUCUGUUUCCAUUGGUAAUUUAGUUAGCUUUUACGGAUUGUAACAUCAACGACAUGUCAACUUUAAUUUCUAACUAAUAUCUCGAAAUAAAGUUCCACUGAACUGAUGCGUUUAAAUUUUGAAAAACAAUUUCCUGCAAUAAACGAAGAAAAUUUAAAAAUGCAGUGUGAAAUAUGAAUCGUGCCACAACGCCCUUUUCCUCUUGUAUUUCGAUUAAUACGUUAUUACAGGAAUCAACAAGGCUUUAUGAGACCUUAAAACACUGCCUUCCCUAAAAUUCCAAUAUAAAUAAAUCAAUUUCUAAAUAAUUUGUUUAGAGGCGUCCACGAAGAAAUUGCAUCUCGAAAAUCCUAAAUUGCGAACUGUUUUCAAGGACUAUCCAGUAAUGGCAAAAGAAAACAAAUGUGUACCUAAAGUAAGUUUGCAAAACCAUAUAUUCAUGAAAGUUCAAAGUUUACUAAGUUACUAUUUAACUGUGAAUGCACUCAGAUGGAAUUUGCAUCAUUCUAACAAUUACGUCUUUUUAACAUUUAAUAGAUUAAACGCCAGUCGUCAGAAUACGUUAAGUUUAUGAUAUAGUUUUACAAUAUAUUUAAAUAUUUAGAAUUCACAAUUAUAUAAGUAACAUAAUAAAAUUCCGUGUUUGUGUGUUUGGUGGUUGAAUUGAAAAAACAUUUAUUUUGUAUAACUGUUCAAAAAUUAUCGCUACUUAAAGCUAACUCAGCAACCGUUCGACAAGAUGUAAAAUACAAAGUAUUUAUUAAUUGAUAAACAAUAUUACAAAAACUUAACACUAUUUCGAAUAUUGCUGGAAUAUUGAAAUGUAGACCGUAUCGAGUUUCUCGAGGAUGUUGCAGCACUUAUAGUAUGUUAGCAACUGCGAUGUCAUUUAUAUGCAUAUACAUACAUAUUUAUUGCGGCACUAAAAGAGAGAACAACAGAUAAUACUUUAUUAAUUUGCAUAUAUUGACAUAAACAUUAGAAAGUAGUAAAACAUAAAUUUUUGUUCAUAAAGUGUAAAUGUAGACAUUAUUGACAUUAUUUCCUUGAAUUUAGAAGUGAAACUUGAUAAAAUCAAUUUUUGAGCUGUAUAAAUUA